rnacentral:rRNA from 1 species
GCACAACAACGGGUGGAGCCUGCGGUUUAAUUGGACUCAACGCCGGACAACUCACCGGGGGCGACAGCAAUAUGUAGGUCAGGCUGAAGACCUUGCCUGAAUCGCUGAGAGGAGGUGCAUGGCCGUCGCCAGUUCGUACUGUGAAGCAUCCUGUUAAGUCAGGCAACGAGCGAGACCCGUGCCCACUGUUACCAGCAUGUCCUCCGGGACGAUGGGUACUCUGUGGGGACCGCCGGUGUUAAAUCGGAGGAAGGUGCGGGCCACGGUAGGUCAGUAUGCCCCGAAUCUCCCGGGCUACACGCGGGCUACAAUGGAUGGGACAAUGGGUCCCUACCCUGAAAGGGGAAGGUAAUCUUCAAACCCAUCCUCAGUUGGGAUCGAGGGCUGCAACCCGCCCUCGUGAACAUGGAAUCCCUAGUAACCGCGUGUCAUCAUCGCGCGGUGAAUACGUCCCUGCUCCUUGCACACACCGCCCGUCGCUCCAUCCGAGUUUGGCUUUGGCGAGGCGUGGCCAUGUUGGUCAUGUCGAACCUAGGUUAGGCAAGGAGGGAG